AUAAAAUUAUGUCACAAGUUAACCAAACAACUAACACAAUACAACAUCACAAUAGAAUAAAAAUUCUAAACACUUGCAUUGUUUUUGUUAUUAUCUAAUACAUAUUUGUAACCAUUUCACAACUCUCACUUAAGCUAUACCUACAACAUUCUGUCUUUGAUCUAUCCUAAUAUUACAUGUACGUUCAUCAUGCUUCAUUCUCUUUUUUUUUGGUACAAUGACGGGACUAGCAAAAGCCCAAAAAGAAUGACAUCUUAUAUACAAAUAGAUCGGGGUAAUGAAGCCCUUAUAUAAUUCUCAUGGAUGAUUCUAGCUAACUCUCGAGAUGGUGUAUCCCAAAACAAAAAACCAUCACCAAUUUCUAAAUUUUUUCUAGCUAAAUAGUCAGCACAUCUAUUAGCCUCUCUGUAAAUUUGUACAAAAAAUAUUCUCUAGUCAUUCUUUUUCAGUGCAACAAUUCGUCUGACUAGAGAAUUAGGAUGUUUCUCCAGAUUUCUUCCACUAUUCAACAAAUUAACAACAGCCGCCGAAUUUCAGGUCUUCCAUGACACCCCAUAGCUCUGCCGUGAAUGCUGUGCAGCUGCCAAUCCUACAGGUAAAUCCAGCAACCCAUCUUCCGUCCUCAUUUCUCACCAAACCGCCACAGCCAGCGCAUCUCAUGUUCCCCUGUGAAGACCCAUCUGUGUUAAGCUUUACCCAUCCUUCUGACGGUGGCACCCAUCUGACGUGAAUCUCCUGUUUCAUCUUCAAUCCUUCAAUCAGUUAGCAUCUUAUAGGUCACAUUACACAGUGCUAUCGGUCGGAACUGGUUUAUGGACUCUGGAUGGUUAAGCUUUGAAACUAGCGCGAUAAGAGUGGAAUUGGCUUGCUUUAUGAUCUCCAGUUCAUUCCAGCAAGUUUGGAUAAAAUCACACACUUUGUUCUUCAUGAUCCCCCAAUUAUUUUUAUUGAUAAGUGCCAAAAAGCCAUCACUUCCUAGAGCCUUGAGAGAUCUUAUGUUGAACAAAGCUCUUCGAAUUUCCAUUUCCGUAGGAGUAGCUGCAAGCUUCCUGCAAUCAGACGAACUAAAAUUAGGGAGGUUGUAAUGGUCUAAUUCAAAAGGAACAACUCUUACCUCUUCUUGAUAAAGGUUUUUGAAAUGGCAAGUGAUGUUCUUUUUCAAUUCCUCCUCUUCUUCAAUCUACUCCCCCUCUUGUCCUCUGAGUUUAAGAAUUCUAUUUUUUCCUCUUUUAACUAUAGCUUUGGUGUGGUAGAACUUAGUGUUUCUAUCUCCAUCCAUGAUCCAUUUCUAUCAUGCU